CACAAUUUCAGGUGACCAAUGCUAUAAAUAUAAAUCUUAUGGUGUCAGCAAAUUCUAAAUAAGCUGGGAAAACUGACGCUUUAUUAAUGCAAGAUAGGGGAUAACAAAUCGUUUCUAUCAGGAAAAGAUCACGACACACAGCAAUAAGAUCCUGUUGAAGGAAACAUGCAUUACAUUCAGCGGAAAGCUUACCAGGAUUAGGAUAG
rnacentral:misc_RNA from 1 species